rnacentral:rRNA from 1 species
UACGUAGGGUGCAAGCGUUAAUCGGAAUAACUGGGCGUAAAGGGUGCGCAGGCGGAUUUGCAAGACAGAUGUGAAAGCCCUGGGCUUAACCUGGGAACUGCAUUUGUGACUGCAAGUCUAGAGUAUGGCAGAGGGAGGUGGAACUCCAUGUGUAGCAGUGAAAUGCAUAGAGAUAUGGAGGAACACCGAUGGCGAAGGCAGCCUCCUGGGCCAAUACUGACGCUCAGGCACGAAAGCGUGGGGAGCAAACAGG